CUGUUACUGAGGAGUCUCACAAUAGGACGAAACGGCCUUAUAGCAG
rfam:Schistosoma mansoni strain Puerto Rico chromosome W, complete genome